rnacentral:rRNA from 1 species
AUUGAACGCUGGCGGCAGGCCUAACACAUGCAAGUCGAGCGAGCGGCGGACGGGUGAGGAAUGUCUAGCAAACUGCCUGAUGGAGGGGGAUAACUACUGGAAACGGUUGCUAAUACCGAAUACCAUGAGAUGUGCCCAGAGGGGAUUAGCUCGUGGGUGGGGUAACUGCUCACCUAGGCGACGAUCGCUAGCUGGUCUGAGAGGAUGACCAGCCACACUGGAACUGAGACACGGACCAGAUGCCUACGGAAGGCAGCAGUAGGGAAUAGUGCGCAAUGGGCGCAAGCCUGAUUCAGCCAUGCCGCGUGUGUGAAGAAGGCCUUCGGGUUGUAAAGCGCUUUCAGCGGGGAUGCGUUACCCGCAGAAGAAGCACCGGCUAACUCCGUGCCAGCAGCCGCGGUAAUAC